rnacentral:rRNA from 1 species
AACGAACGCUGGCGGCAGGCUUAACACAUGCAAGUCGAGCGGAGAGAGGUAGCUUGCUACUGAUCUUAGCGGCGGACGGGUGAGUAAUGCUUAGGAAUCUGCCUAUUAGUGGGGGACAACAUUUCGAAAGGAAUGCUAAUACCGCAUACGUCCUACGGGAGAAAGCAGGGGAUCUUCGGACCUUGCGCUAAUAGAUGAGCCUAAGUCGGAUUAGCUAGUUGGUGGGGUAAAGGCCUACCAAGGCGACGAUCUGUAGCGGGUCUGAGAGGAUGAUCCGCCACACUGGGACUGAGACACGGCCCAGACUCCUACGGGAGGCAGCAGUGGGGAAUAUUGGACAAUGGGCGGAAGCCUGAUCCAGCCAUGCCGCGUGUGUGAAGAAGGCCUUAUGGUUGUAAAGCACUUUAAGCGAGGAGGAGGCUACUUUAGUUAAUACCUAGAGAUAGUGGACGUUACUCGCAGAAUAAGCACCGGCUAACUCUGUGCCAGCAGCCGCCGUAAUAC